CUCGAUAACGAACGAGACCUCGACCUGCUAACUAGUGCAGCGCAGCAUUCGUGCUGCGGUCGUUGCGCACUUCUUAGAGGGACUAUCGGUGUGUAGCCGAUGGAAGUUUGAGGCAAUAACAGGUCUGUGACGCCCUUAGAUGUUCUGGGCCGCACGCGCGCUACACUGACAGAGCCAACGAGUUCAUCACCUUGGCCGAAAGGCCUGGGUAAUCUUGUUAAACUCUGUCGUGCUGGGGAUAGAGCAUUGCAAUUAUUGCUCUUCAACGAGGAAUGCCUAGUAAGCGCGUGUCAUCAGCACGCGUUGAUUACGUCCCUGCCCUUUGUACACACCGCCCGUCGCUAAUACCGAUUGAAUGGAUU
rnacentral:rRNA from 1 species